GGUAAGGAAAACUAAAGAGGAAGGAGAUGGUGACUAUCAGAGUAAUAUGAAGAUGGGAACUUUGACAUGGAUACUUAGAGAAGGCCUCCCCCACAUCACGUCUCUCCUAGAUCCAUUCUUUCUCCACUUCCCUGCCAAAAAAGGAGCAGGUCUUCCAGGGAUGUGAACAGAAAAUGGCAUAACAAAUGACGGCAGAACCUGGAUCUGGUAGAAUUGACCAUUCAAGUGGUUGCUUCUGUGCUGUGAAUCAUCGAGCUGCUAUGUGUUCAUUUGAAGGCAGACAGAACAUCUUGUUUGAUAACCAGCUUCAAAGAAAGUGAAUAGUUAAUGACAUGAAGAUGCCAUCUUUUC